rnacentral:lncRNA from 1 species
ACAGGACGCAAAAGAGAGAACAGGCAAAGCCCCAGAAGAAACACAAACGGCCCCACGACGGCGGGCCACGUGCACGGCCUCGGGAAGCGCGGGCUGGCACCCACGCACUCCGGACUUUUCCAUCGAUGCGCCCCGUAGAGCACUUCCUCCUCCUCCGCCUUCCCGGGGCGCUCACUCCCUCUGGCUCGCUCUGCCGUAAGGCACACAAAGACCCGUGUCGGUGACGGUUUAGUCGCGGGCGAGGCUUCCGGUCAACGGCGUUGGAGGACUCAGGCGUUCCACGUGGAUUUUCGGCCGUCAGAGGCCGGCGCCCCCAACGCCCGUGUUGUUCAAGGCUCAUCGGUGACGGAGACCAUCGCCACCGGUCAGGCUGUCGGAGACUGAGAACAGGAGUGGCGUUGAGGAGCCACAAGAGCGCGGGAAUAAGGACCGUGAGGUCAGCAGAACCGCGCUUUGUAGGGGACGUCCUCCAAGGGGCGGAGGAGGCGUCCGCACUGCCACAGGCCCGCAGGGGGACAAGGGACCGCCCACCGCUCUGCAGGUUCGGUGGCCUCCGCACAGAAAGGAAGCAGCGAUGGUGCCACCCCCCAAAGCAUGUCCCUGUGUGUGGGCAGAGGUCCCAGAGGUGGCCUCUCGGGCUCAGGGGCCCCUCACAAGCUGGGGUGUGGGGAGACACGCCAGGACUCCCGCGUCCGCCUUUCCCACGCAGGGAUCCGCUUUCUCCCUCCAGGGUCAGCACGUGCUUAACCCACGUGCGCGCACGGCGUUUCCGCCACCUAAAACCACCAAAACCAGGGCACUGACUCUGUGUCCUCACAAGGCCCACGUGUCCCUCGAAGACACUGGACUCACCACUCAGAGGGGGGUGGAUGAGGGGAGCCCACGGCCUCAGGAGCCGGGAGACCUAUUAUGAGGCUCGGGAGCCCGGCUUUCUAGAAAGUGCCGGGCAGUGGGGAGCCGGGCCUGCAGAGAAACCGGUCAGGGUGCCCAGAGGAGGCAGACGUGCCCGGAAAGGGAUCAGACCCUGACCCAGGAAGGAGACACGAGUGGCCACUGUGGAAAACGGCCACCGGUUCCUCAAAAAGUUAAACACGAAGCCACCAAGCGACCCAGCAACACUGCUCUUCAGUGUCCACCCAAGAGAACCAAAAACACACGUCCACACGAAACCGUGUCCACAGCAGCCAAAAGGCGGGACACAGCCCACACGUCCACAGACGGGUGAAUGGAUACACACGCGUCCACCGUGCACGCGCACGUCCCUCGGCCGCAGCAGGAGCGGGGCGCCCACCCUCGCCACCCCGCGGACGGACCCGAACACACGACGCUCAGGGAGGGAACCCGACACGAGAGGCCCCGCGGGGUGUGAGCCCACGUGUGUGAAACGUCCAGACAGACUCAUCCACGGACGGGAAGGGGGCUCGUGGGGACCGGGGGCUCAGGGGGCUGGGGGGGUGGCUGAUGGGGAUGGGGCUUCUUUUGGGGUAAUGGGAUGCUCGGGAUUUGAACAGAGAUGACGGUUGCACAACCCUGUGACUGUAUUAAAAACCACCAAAGUGGGGCCUGGGUGGCUCAGUCAGUUAAGCUUCUGACUUGAUUUCGGCUCAGGUCACAAUGUCACAGGCUCACUGAGUUCAAGCCCCCAGUCGGGCUCCGUGCUGACGGUGCAGAGCCCGCUUGGGAUUUUCUCUGCCCCUCCCCCAUGCACGCACAAGCGCUGUCUCUCUGAAAUAAACUUCAAAAACAAAAAAAUUUAAAAAACA